rnacentral:rRNA from 1 species
GACGAACGCUGGCGGCGUGCUUAACACAUGCAAGUCGAACGGAAAGGCCCUGCUUGCCGGGUACUCGAGUGGCGAACGGGUGAGUAACACGUGGGUGAUCUGCCCUGCACUUCGGGAUAAGCCUGGGAAACUGGGUCUAAUACCGGAUAGGAGCCAUUUUUAGUGUGAUGGUUGGAAAGUUUUUUCGGUGUAGGAUGAGCUCGCGGCCUAUCAGCUUGUUGGUGGGGUAAUGGCCUACCAAGGCGGCGACGGGUAGCCGGCCGGAGAGGGUGGACGGCCACAUUGGGACUGAGAUACGGCCCAGACUCCUACGGGAGGCAGCAGUGGGGAAUAUUGCACAAUGGGCGCAAGCCUGAUGCAGCGACGCCGCGUGGGGGAUGACGGCCUUCGGGUUGUAAACUCCUUUCGCUAGGGACGAAGCUUUUUGUGACGGUACCUAGAUAAGAAGCACCGGCUAACUACGUG